CUUGUGCUUGUGCUUGUGUUUGGGUUUGGGGCUUGGGGCUUGGUGGGUGUACCCGGCGAGCGCACACCAGCACUAGUAGGUGCGCCCUAAUGAAUGAAUGGAGGACGUGGGGUUGGACGAUCGUGUAGUACCUCUUGGAUGGUUUUUGGAUGGAGAGUAUACUAGUUCAACAUCAAUUGACCAGGUCAUUUACGUGGAAAUUCUACACUCGCCCCAUAGUUUCUUUUCCCCAUUUUUUGGCAAAUGGUCAAAUAUCUUAUUUAGGAAAUGCAGCUAUUCGUUUUUUCCGUUUCUCUUCGUCAACCGGGGCAAUGGGGCAUACUGUAUUACUAUUUUUUAUCCGUUUCUCAUGAGACCAUGCAAAAGUAUUGAGCUUGAAACAAGCUUCAAAUGCCCCUUCUCCCCGCAUCAACAUUAGUACGUAGUAGAUUUUUCUGGGGAGUAGACACAUCAGCGUCAGCAUCACAUGGUGGCCAUGAAGAGCGUUUAUUCCCUUCUCCUAAUCUCUGCAUACCUCCGAUAUGUAUUCAUUCCUGAAUUACCCACCGACAUUUUUGUAGCAUCCCACGCUAGCUAUCAGUCUCCUCCUUUCUAAGAUUCUAGAAAAAAUCGACCCCAUCCCUAGCGCUAAGCACUAGCAUCAUGUCUUUGUGUGUGCGAUUGUGCAUGAAAGGAGAAGCAAAGCAAAGAAAAGAAGCAAGGAAAGGCGAGAUAGAAGAAUCUUGUCCAUCGGUUUGGUCACCUACCCGCCCGGUUCUCCUCCUCCUCUCCCGGCCUCCCUCUUGAUAUGCACGGACGGUGCAACUUGUCCUAGCCGGACAUUGUUCUGAUUAUUGGUGGGAUCCGCUAGCGUAGCUGCUUUAUUUUUCCUCCCAGCCUGGUUGGUUGGCGUGCAUGUUGCUGGUAUGGUGGAGGAGGUUCCGUACAAGCUUGCAUCGGAAGUCGCACUCCAUCCCGCGCAUUAUUAGUACAACACAGUGCAGUGCCUCAUACUACAACUUUUGCAAAAGAAAAUUAAAAAAAAUAUAAGGUUAGAUGCAUACAAUAUGUACUCAUGUUCUGUCAGAAUUUAUUCUUCUUGUAACAAAAACUCAUUUAAAGGGCAUUGACAUAUUUUAGAAUGUAAAUUCAUUCAUUUUAUUUCGUAUGUAGCCGCCUAGUAAAAUCAUUAGAAAGACUUAUAUUUAAAAACGGAGGAAGUACUUAGUAUGAAGUCGUUUGGGACUUGGUGGUGGUUUGAUUAUCUAGAAAAUAAUCGGUCCUAGUCCCAUCCAUGCAAUGAUCCAAACCGUCCGUUACCUUAAUUUGGUGUUAGGAGUUAAACCUCACUCUGCUGCGCUUUUCAUGCCCAAGAAGAAUAGAUAUACUCUAUCCAACAACUGAAAGCGCUUGUCUAACUCUAUCCAAAAUGAGAUUACAUGUCAUUAUAAGACACUUUAAAGUAGAUUUUUCUUUCUAACAAGUCCAUAUUAAUCCCAAAAAAGUUAUCUCAUUUUCCCUUGCAGCAAGCUAAACCUUUUAGCACGUUUCUUCGCUUGGGGGUGCACAUAACAUAAGCAUGCUCCAUGCAAUCAGAGUGUGGGAGAUGCCGAGUACUACCAAGAUCGAGAAGAAGAGGAGAAGAGGAUAAGAAAUGAGAUUCAUGUGGAACGGGUAGCUAGGGAAUUGAUUGGUGCGAAAUAACUCCGAGUGGUUAGGUUAGUUUUCUCCUCCUCUCCUCCUUGUUGGAUGCAGAUGCAUGUGUGGCCCAUAGCGACAAAGAUCUGGUAGUAGUAGUAGUAUCUCUGUCCAAGGAAAGGCACAUUGAAUGCAUCCAUCCAUCACCCACCUCCACCUCUCCCUCUCACUCUGUGUUCUCUGCUUGCAUUGCACCAACACCGCCCAUACAGACACAGAUGAGUGAACAGCGCUGCUGAGGGUAGGAGGCAGCAGGGUCUCCCCAGUAAUGGCACCGUCCUCCUCUUCCACCACCCUGCAUGCAUGUAUGCAUGGACCCUGUCUUCAUGAGCUACAACGUCAAACACACUAUCCAUACAUGUUGUACGUACGACUAAGCCGUCGCAGUACGUACUACUCGUAGGUGGUACUAGAAGCAGUACGUACA
rnacentral:lncRNA from 1 species